rnacentral:rRNA from 1 species
UACGUAGGGUGCAAGCGUUGUCCGGAAUUAUUGGGCGUAAAGAGCGUGUAGGCGGCCCGAUUAGUCCGCUGUGAAAGUCCAGGGCUCAACCCUGGAAUGCCGGUGGAUACUGUCGGGCUAGAGUCCGGAAGGGGCGAGUGGAAUUCCUGAUGUAGCGGUGAAAUGCGCAGAUAUCAGGAGGAACACCAAUGGCGAAGGCAGCUCGCUGGGGACGUGACUGACGCUGAGACGCGAAAAGCGUGGGGGAGCAAAACAGG